ensembl:lincRNA
CUGUGACCAAGGAGAUGGUGCAGCUACGUCUCUGGAGGUCUCAUCAGCUUGGGAUGGUUUAGGUGUGGCUCUGCAUGAUGACAGGCAGAUGGCUCAGUGGCCACCCAACUCCUCUCUUCCUUUAUGAAUCAGUGAAUUUCCUCUCCUUCUCUGUCUCUCUCCUAGGUGGGGUUUGCAUUGUUGCUCCCAUAGGUCUCUCCAGAGCACUCAAGCGACUGAAAACAUCUGUUAUCACUGUCAAAAAUGGAUGUAUCCCCCAUGAACCAGAGGAGAAUCUGCUUGAAUUUUGCAUAAGGCAUGUAGCAAAGAGCAAUCCACAGGAUCCAAAAAACUCAGAUAAUUGUCUCUUUUCUCAAGAAAUCUACUCAUUGAUGCUGAGAUGCCAGUGUGCAUCACUGAGAAGCUACAUUGGGAUACACGUGGCCAGUGAGAUACAAGCUGAAGGCAGCAGGGGAUCAAGUGGCCCAGGAGUCCCACCAGUGGAAUUGCUAUUAAUCAUGAUCAUUUACCUUCCCGAGAGGAAAAAAUAAAGUUAACGUGUGCAAAC